rnacentral:rRNA from 1 species
CCUACGGGUGGCAGCAGUGGGGAAUAUUGGACAAUGGGGGCAACCCUGAUCCAGCCAUGCCGCGUGUGUGAAGAAGGCCCUCGGGUUGUAAAGCACUUUCAGUGAGGAAGAACGCCUGGUGGUUAAUACCCAUCAGGAAAGACAUCACUCACAGAAGAAGCACCGGCUAACUCCGUGCCAGCAGCCGCGGUAAUACGGAGGGUGCGAGCGUUAAUCGGAAUUACUGGGCGUAAAGCGCGCGUAGGUGGCUUGAUAAGCCGGUUGUGAAAGCCCCGGGCUCAACCUGGGAACGGCAUCCGGAACUGUCAAGCUAGAGUGCAGGAGAGGAAGGUAGAAUUCCUGGUGUAGCGGUGAAAUGCGUAGAGAUCGGGAGGAAUACCAGUGGCGAAGGCGGCCUUCUGGACUGACACUGACACUGAGGUGCGAAAGCGUGGGUAGCAAACAGGAUUAGAUACCCCUGUAGUC